rnacentral:rRNA from 1 species
UACGUAGGGUGCAAGCGUUAAUCGGAAUUACUGGGCGUAAAGCGUGCGCAGGCGGUUAUGUAAGACAGAUGUGAAAUCCCCGGGCUCAACCUGGGAACUGCAUUUGUGACUGCAUAGCUAGAGUACGGUAGAGGGGGGGAUGGAAAUUCCGCGUGUAGCAGUGAAAUGCGUAGAUAUGCGGGAGGAACACCGAUGGCGAAGGCAA